GGCUGUGAAUUGGCUUAAUCUCAGCUGGCAACUGUGAGCAGUUCAUAACUCCCUCACAGUGGUAUCUGGGAUUAUGCUAAACACAGCA
rnacentral:pre_miRNA from 1 species